rnacentral:rRNA from 1 species
CAGUCGCCGCGGGAAUACAGAGGGUGCAAGCGUUAAUCGGAAUUACUGGGCGUAAAGCGCGCGUAGGUGGUUUGUUAAGUUGGAUGUGAAAUCCCCGGGCUCAACCUGGGAACUGCAUCCAAAACUGGCAAGCUAGAGUAUGGUAGAGGGUGGUGGAAUUUCCUGUGUAGCGGUGAAAUGCGUAGAUAUAGGAAGGAACACCAGUGGCGAAGGCGACCACCUGGACUGAUACUGACACUGAGGUGCGAAAGCGUGGGGAGCAAACAGGAUUAGAUACCCGCGUAGUCCCUGUCUCUUAUAC